AAACAAUCACCAACAAUCACCUUCUUCAAUAAAACAAAUAAUACCUUUACAUAAUGAUCAUUAACGUUAGUAAUUUAUUUUUCUACCUGUAAUUCAGAUUCCAUACGGGAACUGCAGUUGCAUUUACGCUCCCGGUACCAAUGAACGUUUACAAAAGGGCGACGGAAGGCUUUUGCGACAGUGAUUGCAGCAACUUCUGGAUCUUUGCCCCAGUCCUGGUUUUGAUGAUGAUGGUUUCGCUUAUGGUGGAAACUCCCUCGACUCUUGCAAUUCUAGCGUCCAUGGAAGAAAACUCCAGGGAUAUCUCGCUUGGUAUCAAUGAGAUCAUGGUUCAAGUGAUUGACCUUAUCCCCGGACCAUUGAUAACGGGUGCCAUGUUUGAUUCCUCGUGUCGGUUAUGGAAUGAGACUUCAUGCCCGUCCUCGGAUGGCGAAUGUUUGAUUUAUGACAACAAAACGCUGUCUGUCCGCCUCGGAAUAUUUGUGAUUGCUUUUUCUGCAUUAAGUGGAUUGUUUUUCUUGAUAGCGUCACUCUUUGCUAGUAGAUCCAACAAAUCAAUUGACUUAGUCCAAAGUAUUGAACGAAAAUAAAUUUCAAAAUCAUCA